UCUGUUCAUCCCAGAAUACUGAGUAAUUCAUUUGCACACUGGAAUAUUUUCUAUGCACUUUUACUGUCCAUUGCACUAGUGUAAAUGAUGUUCAUAUGUUCAUAGUUUCUGCUAAUAGUGUACAUACACUUAUACAUAAUCCAUCUGUAUAGUAUGUUCAUAGUACACCUAUCUGUAUAUCAUGCUGAUAGUAUUUAAAAUCUGUAAAUUAUGUCCAUAAUACUGCCUUAUUUGUAUAUUUAUUGUACAUUUGUAACAUAUUGUAGACCUUGUAUAUUCUGUACUUACUGCUUAUUGCACUUCUGGUUAGAUGCUAACUGCAUUUUGUUGCCUUGUACCUUACAUGUGCAAUGACAAUAAAGUUGAGUCUAAUCUAAUCUAAUCAUAUUAAAAAUAAUUAUUUUGUUACAUUUUAAAUGUCUUCACUCACUUUUCACCACUUUAAUGUAUGAUGAAUAAAAUUAAUUUCUCUCUCUUUUUUAAUCUUACCACAAAUGUUUGAGUGGUAUCAUUGUUUCCACAAAAUUGCAUUAAGCAUCAAUACCUGUUUUCAACUGUUAAUAAUAAUCAGAAAUGUUUCUUGAGCAGCAAAUCAGCAUAUUAGAAUGAUUUCUGAAGAUCAUGUGACACUGAAACUUCUCUUUGUAAACACAAAUAAAUGCACUCCACAUUAUGUUUCAUCUGCAACAAAAUUGUAACAUUUCAUGAAGAACCAUAGAUAUGUAGAUGUAGAUUCGACCGACCCAGAUACAUCGAUGCAUCCGCCACCUUGCAACAGUCAACAUGUCACUCAAAGUAAAAAUCAGCAAGUUUUCAAAUAUGCACAGCCUCUGGUUGUAAAAACCGCAGAGAUUUAAACUCCAGAAGAAAUGGGAUGAACUUUCACAGGUGAGAAUGAGUUGAUUUGUGUUUUGAUAACUCAAUCAUUCAUCACGGUCAGGAGCUCAUGUGCCCUGAAAUUAUUGGAUGUUAAGGAAAACACUGCAGUGUAAGUUCAUUUAACAUAUAAUUUGUGUAAAAUAUAAAGUGUUGCACAUUUUAUUGGUACAGAGGUGGUUAUGUGUAUUUUGUAAAAACGUUAGCAACUUCUUUUUAUCAUUUACUUAGAAGCACCACAAUUAAAUUAUCCUUCAUAGGGACUACAGAACAGAUACUUUGAACACACUGAACAACAGUUAGACAGAAAACAAACCCAUCCUUCAUGUUUCCAGAAGUGUGUUUGUUAAACUCGUACCACAUUCUGGUGCCUGUGUCACUGCAGAGGUCAAACUAGAGGUCAAACUAGAGGUCACAGCUGCAGUAGUUGGUCC
ensembl:lncRNA